UACAGAGGUCCCAAGCGUUGUUCGGAUUCACUGGGCGUAAAGGGUGCGUAGGUGGCUUGGUAAGUUUGAUGUGAAAUCUCCGGGCUUAACCCGGAAAUGGCAUUGAAUACUAUUGAGCUGGAGGUUUGGAGGGGGGACUGGAAUUCUCGGUGUAGCAGUGAAAUGCGUAGAUAUCGAGAGGAACACCAGUGGCGAAGGCGAGUCCCUGGACAACACCUGACACUGAGGCACGAAAGCGUGGGGAGCAAACGGG
rnacentral:rRNA from 1 species